rnacentral:rRNA from 1 species
GUAAGGAAUAUUGGACAAUAGACGCAAGUCUGAUCCAGCCAUGCCGCGUGAAGGAUUAAGGUCCUCUGGAUUGUAAACUUCUUUUAUAAGGGACGAAAAAAGGCUUUUCUAAGUCGUCUGACGGUACCUUAUGAAUAAGCACCGGCUAACUCCGUGCCAGCAGCCGCGGUAAUACGGAGGGUGCAAGCGUUAUCCGGAUUCACUGGGUUUAAAGGGUGCGUAGGCGGGCAGGUAAGUCAGUGGUGAAAUCCUAGAGCUUAACUCUAGAACUGCCAUUGAUACUAUCUGUCUUGAAUAUUGUGGAGGUAAGCGGAAUAUGUCAUGUAGCGGUGAAAUGCUUAGAUAUGACAUAGAACACCUAUUGCGAAGGCAGCUUACUACGCAUAUAUUGACGCUGAGGCACGAAAGCGUGGGGAUCAAACAGGAUUAGAUACCCCUGUAGUCC